AGGAAUAAACUCAACAUGAUCAUAGUACAAUCAUGAAUGAAAGAAACAAGCAAUCUAGUCCCAGAAAUUUUAGGAUGUUAGAUGGAUCAAAAUAUCUUUGUUAAUUAAUGUAAAAUGAAAAGAACUUCUUGUCUUAUUGAGGAAAAGUUAUACGUUUGUAUUUAGCAAAUUCAUGUAGAUCACAGUGCAAAUUGCAACUAUUUUAGCUCUUUGAAAAAAAAAAGAGAAAAACAUAACCUUAAAAUCGUAAAUGAAGGUAUCCAAUUCUUAGGUGAUGGAUGCAUACUCUAUGCUUACUGGUAGCAGGUUGUUUGAAGAGAAGGAAAAUAGGUAUUUUACUUAGGUUUCUAGGUACCUUCAAGAAGGACAAUCCUUCCAUCUCCUUAACUUGUUCAAUCAUUACCCCAAAUUCUGGUCCUGAAAUACACAUUUAGAAAAAAAAAAAUGUUACCUUGCAAUUCAUAUCAUGAGAGAGUUUACUUAUAGACAACAAGAUUAGUCAAAAUAGCUUUGGAACCUGAAGCACAUUUUAAAAAUGAAAAAGGAACUAAUCUUGACAUCUCUAAUCCCUUCUACAAUGGUCAGUAAACCAACUGCAAUAGCUAUUUUUCUGUUGCUAGAGCGGACAUAUGUUCUAAAAUUAUGUGAGAAAUGUGUCAUAUGGUCUCUAGCUUCUAAGUUGAUGAUCCAUGAAUGUGCAAAUGAUUUAUCUGAGAUAUUUAAACCAUAUAAAAGGGAAAACUUACCUGAAUGUUCCAAUGACCUAG
rnacentral:lncRNA from 1 species